GGGGAAUAUUGCGCAAUGGUCGAAAGACUGACGCAGCGACGCCGCGUGGAGGAUGACGCCCUUCGGGGUGUAAACUCCUGUUGCUCGGGACGAACCUCCCCAUUCGUGGGGACUGACGGUACCGGGUGAGGAAGCACCGGCUAACUCUGUGCCAGCAGCCGCGGUAAUACAGAGGGUGCGAGCGUUGUCCGGAAUCACUGGGCGUAAAGGGCGCGUAGGCGGCUUGGUAAGCGUGCGGUGAAAGCUCGGGGCUCAACCCCGAGUCUGCCGUGCGAACGGCCGAGCUGGAGUACGGUAGAGGCACAUGGAAUUCCGGGUGUAGCGGUGGAAUGCGUAGAGAUCCGGAAGAACACCGGUGGCGAAGGCGGUGUGCUGGGCCGUAGCUGACGCUGAGGCGCGACAGCGUGGGGAGCAAAC
rnacentral:rRNA from 1 species